AUUGAACGCUGGCGGCAUGCUUUACACAUGCAAGUCGAACGGCAGCGCGGGCUUCGGCCUGGCGGCGAGUGGCGAACGGGUAAGUAAUACAUCGGAACGUGCCCAGUAGUGGGGGAUAGCUCGGCGAAAGCCGGAUUAAUACCGCAUACGACCUGAGGGUGAAAGCGGGGGAUCUUCGGACCUCGCGCUAUUGGAGCGGCCGAUGGCAGAUUAGCUAGUUGGUGGGGUAAAGGCCUACCAAGGCGACGAUCUGUAGCUGGUCUGAGAGGACGACCAGCCACACUGGGACUGAGACACGGCCCAGACUCCUACGGGAGGCAGCAGUGGGGAAUUUUGGACAAAGGGCGAAAGCCUGAUCCAGCAAUGCCGCGUGUGUGAUGAAGGCCUUCGGGUUGUAAAGCACUUUUGGCGGGAACGAAAAGGACUGUGCCAAUACCACGGUUCGAUGACGGUACCCGCAGAAUAAGCACCGGCUAACUACGUG
rnacentral:rRNA from 1 species